rnacentral:rRNA from 1 species
GACGAACGCUGGCGGCGUGCUUAACACAUGCAAGUCGAACGGUAAGGCCCUUCGGGGUACACGAGUGGCGAACGGGUGAGUAACACGUGGGUGAUCUGCCCUGCACUUCGGGAUAAGCCUGGGAAACUGGGUCUAAUACCGGAUAGGACCACUGCCUGCAUGGGUGGUGGUGGAAAGCUUUUGCGGGGUGGGAUGGGCCCGCGGCCUAUCAGCUUGUUGGUGGGGUGAUGGCCUACCAAGGCGACGACGGGUAGCCGGCCUGAGAGGGUGACCGGCCACACUGGGACUGAGAUACGGCCCAGACUCCUACGGGAGGCAGCAGUGGGGAAUAUUGCACAAUGGGCGCAAGCCUGAUGCAGCGACGCCGCGUGAGGGAUGACGGCCUUCGGGUUGUAAACCUCUCUCAGCACCGACGAAGCGCAAGUGACGGUAGGUGCAGAAGAAGGACCGGCCAACUACGUGCCAGCAGCCGCCGUAA